rnacentral:rRNA from 1 species
CCUACGGGUGGCAGCAGUGAGGAAUAUUGGUCAAUGGCCGGGAGGCUGAACCAGCCAAGUCGCGUGAGGGAAGACGGCCCUACGGGUUGUAAACCUCUUUUGUCAGGGAGCAAGGUGCAGGUCGGGACCUGCUGUGAGAGUACCUGAAGAAAAAGCAUCGGCUAACUCCGUGCCAGCAGCCGCGGUAAUACGGAGGAUGCGAGCGUUAUCCGGAUUUAUUGGGUUUAAAGAGUUGCGUAGGUGGCAUAAUAAGUAGCUAGUGAAAUCUGGUGGCUCAACCAUUCAGACUAUUAGCUAAACUGUUAAGCUCGAGACCGUUAGGGGGAACUGGAAUUUCUAGUGUAGGAGUGAAAUCCGUAGAUAUUAGAAGGAACACCAAUAGCGUAGGCAGGUUACUGGGACGGUUCUGACACUAAGGCACGAAAGCGUAGGGAGCAAACGGGAUUAGAUACCCUUGUAGUC